GUGGAGAAUCGAGUAAACAUGGUACCACAUUCUCCCUCAAGUACAACGGCCUUUGGAGCGACCCCAGGCCUGAGUGUGUUGAUAACGUGUUCUAUAAGUGGUGGGACAAAGGCUGCCAAGAACAGAGAGGUGGACUAGAGACAGACGACAACGGGAGACAGCGGGAUCCAGCAGCCCGGGUUGACCUGCACGUCCUGCACCGCCCUCUGUCUUCACGGAAACAGAUAAACGAAUGCCUGGCCAUCAUCAUGUUAAGAAGAGGAUCCUGCAUUUUAGCGUUAUCCUGGAGUAGCGCAAUCUUCCGGUCUCUCACGAGUGGUGUAUGCCAGUUAACACUCCCCGGAGAGGCAAAACAAGUCCCGUGGGCUCUACCGGAAAGGGCGUGACUUCGCCACUAUCGCGUUUGGUCAAGAGAUGAACGCCUGAAAAAAUAUAUUUGUAUUAUCAAAACUGACAACAGUCAGUCAACUGACAAAGUAGGUAAACCCGAUGUGAUCCAAGGACCAAACUAUUGAUUUAUUGUUUAAUUUAACUCUAUGCCUUCAGACGAAACACAACUUUGCAAUGCAGUCUGCCAUCCAUGGUACUUUUCCCGCAAAAGUUAGUUGGUUUAUUCGGUGAUCAAUCGUUGAUAUUCUGUUGAAAAAUGUUAUGGACCUGUCAAAAUGCUAAUUAGAAACAAACACCAAUUCGUUUUUUUAUUCAUAUUUUUUCUUUGACUAAAAGCCACAUUUGGGAAUUUAAUUUAAAAGAGCACACACACACACACACACACACACACACACACACACACACACACACACACACACACACACACACACACACACACACACACACACACACACACACACACACACACACACACACACACACACCUCUCUUCCUCCCUUUCUAACCCUAUGAAACCCAUGGGCGUGCUACGAAUAUUGAAUCUGGGGAGGAGUGUGUGUGUGACAGACACUCAAUCUGAAAUUAGCAUCUGUCUUCGAGUCGGAAUGCUUCUAGAGAGAUCUAGUUCCAAGAGUUCUCGAACUGAACUAUCGGAGGCAGAAGUAUGAGUUUCCAUGUUUCUGCUCCAGCCCUCACUCCGAGUCAGCUGAUUUCAGACUGAGGGUUGAAGCCAGAGGUGUAGCCAUGGUUUCAACAUUGGGGGGGACAAAUGCCUGGGGGCGGGGGCGGGGCCCGGCCCCCCCCCCAGGCAAAGAUUUUGAACAUGCAUUAAUCUGGUGCACUCUGAGAGCAAAAUCUCAAUACCUAGCACCUAAUUUUGAAGACCUUUUUGGGGAUGGAUGUUUAAAACACUUUAAUACUGGAUGUGACCAAGCAGUCUGGGAGUGUGGAAGACUUGAAAUUAGGAAAAGGU